rnacentral:rRNA from 1 species
GAUGAACGCUGGCGGCGUGCCUAAUACAUGCAAGUCGAGCGAACAGACGAGGAGCUUGCUCCUCUGACGUUAGCGGCGGACGGGUGAGUAACACGUGGAUAACCUACCUAUAAGACUGGGAUAACUUCGGGAAACCGGAGCUAAUACUGGAUAAUAUAUUGAACCGCAUGGUUCAAUAGUGAAAGACGGUUUUGCUGUCACUUAUAGAUGGAUCCGCGCCGCAUUAGCUAGUUGGUAAGGUAACGGCUUACCAAGGCAACGAUGCGUAGCCGACCUGAGAGGGUGAUCGGCCAAACUGGAACUGAGGCACGGUCCAGACUCCUACGGGAGGCAGCAGUAGGGAAUCUUCCGGAAUGGGCGAAAGCCUGACGGAGCAACGCCGCGUGAGUGAUGAAGGUCUUCGGAUCGUAAAACUCUGUUAUUAGGGAAGAACAAAUGUGUAAGUAACUAUGCACGUCUUGACGGUACCUAAUCAGAAAGCCACGGCUAACUACGUG